rnacentral:lncRNA from 1 species
AGUGUGUUAAACGUACGCUCCCGAGAUUGAUAAUAGCGACAACAAGGCUGAAACGGGGAUCUGGCGGACUUGACCAUUCACAGGGAGGACCGGGUCUGAGCGGCGCCGGCCGGGGAAAUGGAUGGCACUCCUUCAGCACCGGGGGAGGAAAAUAUAGGCUUCGGAAAAACACAUCACAAUGGGACGCCGAUGUUGAUGACGCUGUUGUCGUUGACACCCUGGCUGCUGGCCCUAUCGUACCUUCCUAAUGACCCCACUGAAGGAAGGUGUGGCGCUUCCUGCUGUUUUUUACCUGCCGGAGAGACGGGAGAUGAAGUGCUUCACCGCCUCCCACUGCCUGCGAGGACCUGGGUUUUCCAUCUUGUACCACAUUCAUCCCCCACAUGGACCGGGGGGGAAGAAGGACGGGAUGCCCGAGGCAGACCCAGGAGAGAACACAGUAUCCUAUUGUGCGUUACAAAGACGUCUACAGGGAGAUUAUUUUUCCACAGUAUGAUUCAUUGACAGUUUUACCCUUUUGUGAGGGUUCGUCUCUGGUGCCAGUCUGUUGCUACGGUGCCCUGAGAUCUUAACGACCUGAUGUACCUAUGAUGCAAGGAGCUGAGCUGCUGUGUAAUGGUAGUUAGAUGUGUUGUUUGUGACUCAGAGUUUCUUCUUAUCGAGUUUUCUAUUUUUUACUUUCUUUGCAAAAGACAUCUACGACAUCUGCUGAAAUACAGACCUAAGUAUUUUUUUGUGAUUCUGGUUUAUUUCUCUUUAAUGUGCACUUAAAUAACACAGGUGGGUAUUUGGUUUCACAUUAAAUAACCAGAAGUUGAAAUGAUGGUUAUCAAACAUUCUUUUUUGUAAUUCUAAUACUACGCCUGAACUUGAAAACACAAGCUGUAACGUUCUCCUUAUCAUGAGAAGAACCAAUCUUUGCAGAUAGUAGAACAAAUGUUUGUAUUUUAUCCAUGUUUUUCAAUUGUAUUUAUUGAAAUACGGGUCAUCCAGUCAGUCUUAGUCAGUACGUAGCAAAGCAAUGGUAACAUGAAGCAGCUUAACAUACUGAAAGAAGAAAAUAAUUUAGUCAUUAAGAAUGUUUCAAUAUGUAAAACCUCAAGGGUGUAAAAAAAUAUGUGCACAAGAAAUAAUCUUUUUUUCUUGUUUCAGAUGAACAAGGGCCUCAGGCUGUGGAUUCUUUUAAAGGCAUCCUCCCCAGGGAACUGGUUUCAGAUGGUGUCUUAGAGUAUAAAAUCCCAUCUAGCACCAUUUGAAAUCGGUGUUCUUGAGCGGGAACAGACUUCAGGAACGUCACGGUACAACCUCGUUCACAAGGAUUCCAGAAGUGUUCCAGUUUGUCGGGAUUGUUUAAAACAGUGGAACAGUUCUCCGUACAGCUCACGGCCCACUCAUCAUCGGUGCUGAGCGGAGUCCAGUCUUCUGACCCCCUCUGACCAAGGCUGACCGUUUUCCUCUGGUGUUCAGAGUUUCCAUCAUGUCUAGCACCAUUUGAAAUCGGUUACAAUGCGGAGGGACUAUCAACAACAACAUUUUGUUCCAGCUACAUGUUGACAUGAUCAGAAAGUACCAGAAGAUGGCAGCACUAGCCUGUGCCAACAUCCAUGCUGCUGCUCUCCCGAGCUGUAAUCCUUGAAGCACUGACAGACGUACAGUUGCAGCCCAUCAGCCAUGUUAACUGCAGGUUCCAGCUCUUGUAGUUUUCAUCCAGGAACAUGGAAUUAGAAAUUAUAUGGUCAAAGCCUUCAGUUGUUGAGGCAUGUGCAGCACUUAAAUUGGCAUUGUUGAUAUCUACUUCUAACCUUUAUACCACAGUAAAUGUUAUGUAUUUUUGAAUUGUGACAAAUAGUUUAAGGUCCGUUUUUUAAAGCCUGUCAAUUCUCCAACAACAGAGUGAAGCAAAUUUAAUUUAAUUAUAGCAUAACAGCCAUGUAAUAAAAGAUGAUAGCAUGUAAUCUUUUAAUACA